UUCUGGUUGAUCCUGCCGGACCUGACUGCUAUCGGAUUGAUACUAAGCCAUGCGAGUCAUUGUAGCAAUACAAGGCAGACGGCUCAGUAACGCGUAGUCAAUCUACCCUAUGGACGGGAAUAACCUCGGGAAACUGAGAAUAAUGCCCGAUAGAACAUUAUACCUGGAACGGUUUAUGUUACAAAUGAUUUAUCGCCGUAGGAUGGGACUGCGGCCUAUCAGUUUGUUGGUGAGGUAAUGGCCCACCAAGACUAUUACAGGUACGGGCUCUGAGAGGAGUAGCCCGGAGAUGGGUACUGAGACACGGACCCAGGCCCUAUGGGGCGCAGCAGGCGAGAAAACUUUGCAAUGUGCGAAAGCACGACAAGGUUAAUCCGAGUGGUUUCUGCUAAAGAAACCUUUUGCUAGUCCUAGAAACACUAGUGAAUAAGGGGUGGGCAAGUUCUGGUGUCAGCCGCCGCGGUAAAACCAGCACCUCAAGUGGUCAGGAUGAUUAUUGGGCCUAAAGCAUCCGUAGCUCGUUUUGUAAGUUUUCGGUUAAAUCCAUACGCUUAACGUAUGGGCUGCCGGGAAUACUGCAUAACUAGGAAGUGGGAGAGGUAGACGGUACUCGGUAGGAAGGGGUAAAAUCCUUUGAUCUAUUGAUGACCACCUGUGGCGAAGGCGGUCUACCAGAACACGUUCGACGGUGAGGGAUGAAAGCUGGGGGAGCAAACCGGAUUAGAUACCCGGGUAGUCCCAGCUGUAAACUAUGCAAACUCAGUGAUGCAUUGGCUUGUGGCCAAUGCAGUGCUGCAGGGAAGCCGUUAAGUUUGCCGCCUGGGAAGUACGUACGCAAGUAUGAAACUUAAAGGAAUUGGCGGGA
rnacentral:rRNA from 1 species